rnacentral:rRNA from 1 species
UGGGGAAUUGUUCGCAAUGGGCGCAAGCCUGACGACGCAACGCCGCGUGGAGGAUGAAGACCUUCGGGUCGUAAACUCCUUUCGAUCGAGACGAAUGGCCUCCGGGUGAACAAUCCGGAGGAGUGACGGUACCGAGAGAAGAAGCCCCGGCUAACUCCGUGCCAGCAGCCGCGGUAAUACGGGGGGGGCAAGCGUUGUUCGGAAUUACUGGGCGUAAAGGGCUCGUAGGCGGCCAACUAAGUCAGACGUGAAAUCCCUCGGCUUAACCGGGGAACGGCCUCUGAUACUGGAUGGCUUGAGUUCGGGAGAGGGAUGCGGAAUUCCAGGUGUAGCGGUGAAAUGCGUAGAUAUCUGGAGGAACACCGGUGGCGAAGGCGGCAUCCUGGACCGACACUGACGCUGAGGAGCGAAAGCCAGGGGAGCAAACGGG